ACUAUUUUGGCAGAAAUAAGUGCAACAGAUUUAGAAUUUGUAAAUAUAAUUAAUAAUUAUAGAUAGUA
rnacentral:tRNA from 1 species